GACAAAGGGGAUCCAAGCCACUUUGUGAGAAUUUUCAAUGUCAGAUCACGCGACUCGUGAUUGUUGCAAAUCUGCUUUCGCUAAGGAGAAAAUUAUGAUAAUUGUUUCAUUGAAUGCUCCUCAGCGCCCCAUAUGCUUAGAAGUGAUUUUCCAUAACACUGGAUGAUCCAUCACAAAUCACAGUGGCCAAUUUUUUCAUUCGGAGACAGGUACUAGAGAUCAUCAACCGGCGCACCAUUGAAGAUCCACACAUUUCUAGUUAGUUGAUAAAGGUACUAGAGAUCAUGAACCAGCGCACCGUUGAAGAUCCACACACUUCCAGCUAGUUGGUGAGUCCUCCUAGUUUCCGUAGGAUGUUGAGUUUGCUGUAUAGUUUUGUGUUGUUCCUGUAUUUUGAUCGUGGGUAGCCAUGGGCUUGUCAUUGGCACCUCCUAGAUUGUUGAUAGAGGCUUUAUAGACCAGAGCAUAGAAAUGUUGGAUUGUUCUUUUGAGUAGUUCCUCUGUAACUGUUUUGUUGGUUUGAUAGUUA